CCUACGGGUGGCAGCAGUGGGGGAUAUUGCACAAUGGGGGAAACCCUGAUGCAGCGACGCCGCGUGUGGGAAGACGGUCUUCUGGAUUGUAAACCACUGUCCCCAGGGACGAAAAUGACGGUACCUGGGGAGGACGCUCCGGCUAACUACGUGCCAGCAGCCGCGGUAAUACGUAGGGAGCAAGCGUUGUCCGGAAUUACUGGGUGUAAAGGGAGCGUAGGCGGGGAUGCAAGUUGGGUGUCAAAACUACCGGCUCAACCGAUAGUCGCACUCAAAACUGCAACUCUUGAGUGAAGUAGAGGCAGGCGGAAUUCCUAGUGUAGCGGUGAAAUGCGUAGAUAUUAGGAGGAACACCAGUGGCGAAGGUGGCCUGCUGGGCUUUGACUGACGCUGAGGCUCGAAAGUGUGGGGAGCAAACAGGAUUAGAUACCCGAGUAGUC
rnacentral:rRNA from 1 species